rnacentral:piRNA from 1 species
UGGCACAGACCUCUUUCCUUCUGCCU